rnacentral:lncRNA from 1 species
UGACUGGGGCACAACUGGGACAUGGACAAAGUUGAACUUAGCUGCUUUCCACCCUUCCCACCUUUCGGGAACCUUCCUUAUUGCUUUGGCCUGCCUCGCAUCAUCUCUCAACCUGUCUGGGUUCCCAGUCCUGCGACAUCUUGCUGGUAGAACUCUCCCUUCAGCUGUAAUUGAUAAAUGACUCAGGAGAUUGUUUCGAUAUGAAGUAAAGUCAUCAGUACACAGAUAUUUGAGCAAACUGAUGGUGAACCAAACGUAUUUGACACCCAGAACGGACCACUUUUCACCUCCUUCUUUUGCAAAGCAUUCCCUUACUGCCAGCACUUGAGGCAGACUGCGCUCAUGGUCCUCCCUUUGGUACUCCACUGGUACCCAAUUAAGUUGAAAUGCUGAAGAUAAGAAAAUGUGAUGAAAAUCGUGCAUUAGAGUUUCAAUUGCGUUAAUGAAUAUGAUGAAAUACAAAAGCCACAGUGUUUUUAGAGUGGAGAAAGUCUUGUAAAUAGAAAUAUGAAGUCAGCCAAAUUGAAAGAGCACCGUAACUCUUCCUUCUGAAAUUGCAUCAAAACAAGAUCACAGUAUAGAGUUGCCCUCAAAUUGCCAAGCAAAAGAAGCCUGAUGGAGGAGCUUUACUGAAGGCUGGUGCCCUGGAAAUGGGUAGAUCAUCGAGGACCAGCAGCCUUACCAUUUCUCUUCAGUGCACAACUGGGUAAAAUGAAGACAUCUCUCAAG